rnacentral:rRNA from 1 species
CAGUCGCCGCGGUAAGACAGAGGAUGCAAGCGUUAUCCGGAAUUAUUGGGCGUAAAGGGCUCGCAGGCGGUUUCUUAAGUCUGAUGUGAAAGCCCCCGGCUCAACCGGGGAGGGUCAUUGGAAACUGGGAGACUUGAGUGCAGAAGAGGAGAGUGGAAUUCCACGUGUAGCGGUGAAAUGCGUAGAGAUGUGGAGGAACACCAGUGGCGAAGGCGACUCUCUGGUCUGUAACGGACGCUGAGGAGCGAAAGCGUGGGGAGCGAACAGGAUUAGAUACCCCGGUAGUCCCUGUCUCUUAUAC